rnacentral:lncRNA from 1 species
UACUUUGAAUAAUCUUUUAUUUCCAAUUAACUAUGAAACAAACAGUUCAGAAAAAUUCCAUGUUGAUUUUGCAAAAAUUUUUUUUCUUUUGUAUUUUUAUAGAGAGGGGGUUUCACCAUGUUGGUCAGGCUAGUCUUGAACUCCUGGCCUCAGGUGAUCCACCUGCCUUGGCCUCCCAAAGUGCUGGGAUUACAGGUGCGAGCCACUGCACCCAGCCAAGAAUUUCAGCUCCUUGGUGUUAAGAGAUUAUUCUUUCAUCAACAGUGAUUAGCCAAAAACAACAAAAAAAGGCUUCAACGGCCCCUUUCCAAUUCUAAUCUCUUCUUCAGGUACAGAGAGCCCGGAGGGGCCAGAUGCCGUAUUGAGACAGGGCUCAGGUGAGGCUCUUAGGCACGCAGCUGAAGGGAGUUCACCGGCCCAGAGGGUUGAAGACCAACACUAACAUUAUGAACAAGGCAGGAGUUCCUGCUAACACACCUCCCACUCCCUUUCCCUUCUCAGAUAGAACCCAAC